AUUGAACGCUGGCGGCAGGCCUAACACAUGCAAGUCGAGCGGAUGAAGGGAGCUUGCUCCUGGAUUCAGCGGCGGACGGGUGAGUAAUGCCUAGGAAUCUGCCUUGUAGUGGGGGAUAACGUCCGGAAACGGGCGCUAAUACCGCAUACGUCCUGAGGUAGAAAGUGGGGGAUCUUCGGACCUCACGCUAUCAGAUGAGCCUAGGUCGGAUUAGCUAGUUGGUGGGGUAAAGGCCUACCAAGGCGACGAUCCGUAACUGGUCUGAGAGGAUGAUCAGUCACCCUGGAACUGAGACACGGUCCAGACUCCUACGGGAGGCAGCAGUGGGGAAUAUUGGACAAUGGGCGAAAGCCUGAUCCAGCCAUGCCGCGUGUGUGAAGAAGGUCUUCGGAUUGUAAAGCACUUUAAGUUGGGAGGAAGGGCAGUAAGUUAAUACCUUGCUGUUUUGACGUUACCAACAGAAUAAGCACCGGCUAACUUCGUG
rnacentral:rRNA from 1 species